CCCCUGUUUGUGUUAGUACCUGUCUGUGAGUGUGGCAGCUGACGAGGGCAGGAGGGAGGCCGCUCUGUGUCUUCCCCCUUAUUUCAUGUGCUGCUGUUCCUGAGGCCUGGCUUGAAAAAAGGAGGACAUUCGGCUUAGACAGAUGGAGGGCAGGGUCAUUUUCAAAAUGUAAUGAGUGCACAAAUCACACUGUGAAAUUGGCAUGACCAUCACUGCUGCUGUGAUAGACUGACUUUUAUUUAGUUAUGAUGGGCAGUUGGGGAAUAGAUUAGGUUUUUGGAGGGGGGAGGGGCCGCAGUGAAAGAAGGCCCUUUAAUUAAUGAGAGAAAUUCUGGAAAGCAAUAAAUGGGGUGGAAUAUUAUAAAAUGUCAUAAAAGACCAUUUUGUUUCCAACAGAAUCUUGAAAACUGGAGCAUGUAUCAAAAAGUAAAUGUAUCGUACCAUUGCUAGCAAUAAGAAAGCAUUUGGUGGUUGCAAUAAAAUGAUUUAGUGCCUUAUUGAAAGAAACUAGGCUUUGAGAAAAUGGAGUUGGACUCGGUGGAUUUUGCUGCAAAGAGGAAGGCAUGUUCACCAUGUAGAAGAAUUCCAUUCAGGCAAAAUGUGUAGGAGCUAAAAGCAUGAUGUUUGGUUCUUCAUAUGCUUAUGUUUCUGCCUGCCAAAGCAUGAGAUGAUCAAAUCCUAUUCUAUUUGUACAUAUAAUCUGUCUGGCAUUCUCUUGUAAAACAGUUGGAAGGUAUGAUUUCUUAUUUAUCCUUUACGUGUGAUCAUGUCCUGUUGGUAAACCGGUCAUUUCUGAACAUCCCAACUACCACAGCUGUGGUCAGACAUCUUUCUUGAUAAAGGAAGACCUUCUGAAAAAACCACUUUUCAGUUGUUAUUUUUUUUCCCUUCUCAUUUCAGGCUAUUUUCUUCAGGAUGGCCAGUUUCAGGGGCUCAGUUACCUUGCUUCCUCUCAACAGUAAACAGGGAAAAAUAAUAAAUUAGUACCAAAUUGGUAAUGUAAUUGACUUUUAGAAGCAUCCCUUCCAUCUUUUAAUACUUUUGGAAAGGUUGUAUACCAAAUCAAUACUUGGGGAAUGUAUGCUCAGACAUUUAACCUCAUUAUGAACUCUCUUUUUGCUGGUGGUUUCAGCUCUAUUAUUUUCAUUAGAUUUCUUUCUUGGAUAUACCUUAUUUUUUUUAUCAAGUAGCUUAUAUUUAGGUGCUUACAGUGUUAGCACUGUUACCUAAACUUGUCAGGGAGAACACAAUAGCAUUAUAGUUUAUAAAUGGAGUUAGUAGGGAAGGCACAACUGUGGAUACUGGUAUUUGAAGAAAGCGAUCCGCCAUCCAAACAAAGAGCUACUCUAAGCCUUGUGUUUAUACAGUACUUUCUGUACCAGGACCAGGUCCUGCUUUGCCUAACUUCCCUCAUUAAUCCUCACAGCCCUUCUGUGAAUUAGGUUACUCUUAUUUUUGGCCCCACUGGAAAACCACGGACUGCAAAGCACAAAAGGAAGCCUGUGGUUGCAGCAGCCCGCCCGCGGGGGCUGGCGAUUGCUUAAGCUGGCCAGUAGGGGCCACACUGCACCUCUUCCCUCUCUCCCCCUGGGUACCUCCUCUCCAGUCCUUUGAAUUGGCUUUGGAUCAUUUGCUGCAGUUUGUUCUAACAGAACAGGCACAAUGGUGUAAGAAUUUUAAAGUUUAAGCACCGAAGCCGUUGUGUAAUUGUAUGGCGUCAGUGUGGCCGGCAGCCCUGCAUUGAUGCGAUCCCCCUGUGUAAUUGCCCAUGCAAAUUCGAGCGGUCUGUAAGGGACGCAGAAACCCGCGUUUGGCUACAGAUUCUUCUCCCCCAGAAAAUCUAAUAACUCGAAGAACCUUUUGUCAUCUUUAAAAUGCAUCAUGGACAGGGAUGUCUCAGUAUCCCUCUCAUAGGGGCAGACAUCACAGAUCAAGACUUUAAAUCACCCUUCACAAGAGAAAUAAAGAUUAUUCCAGAGGUUUAGUAAAACUUUAAGCAUUUUAUUAAAAACCAAGAUAGUUAGGUCUCUUAAAGCAGACUGUUUCAAACUCAUGAAUUAGUUGCCUGUGAAAUUGCUUGCAAUCCGUAAUGUAGUAUUACAAUGAAACAUCAGCCUGACAAAUCUGUACAAAGCCAGUGACUUCAAACAAUUCAGCUGAAGACAUAUUUCCCUCCUUUUGUGUAAAACAAUAGUAAUUAGGAAGCACAUCCGGAGGGGAUCCUUUUUAGAUUAUUGUAUAUCAAAAUAAAAUGGCAAAAGCAAUUUUCUCUCAUGGGAAUGAGACUUAACAAAACCUCAUCUCUUAUUUCCGUACUAUGCCCUUCCUUCCUCGUUCCCUCCCUUCUUUCCUCUCUCCUUUUUUUCCUUCCUCCCUUCCUCCCUCCCUUCCUUCCUUCCUUCCUUCAAUUCAUGUAAACAUGAUUUAAUAUAAAUCUAAAGAAAACAAAUUGAGGUUCUAAUACACACAUAUAUACAUAUAGAAAGUGAACACAAAGAUAAAUCAUGGCCUCAAAUAGCACAUUUUUAUCACAGAAAAUACUUCAUUUACCUAAUAAACAUAUUUCUGUACCAGUGUAUACAUUGAACAACAUUGGCAUAGAUACGCUGCACAGAAACAAUUAAUCUUUAGCCCUGUUGAGAGAUGUGCCAAAUAUGCAAGAACAUUCAUAAUUAAAUUAGGGAAGAUGUAACCCAAAAUUGAUAGCUGAGGAAAAGGUAGUAACGCAAACAAUGUAAGCAGGACACCGGGCAUUGCUGAACCUGUGCUCUUCGUGACAUUCCCUGGACACGCUUCAUCUUGUUUCUGUCCUCCCUGUGUUUUAAUCUAUUACUGCUCACUUAUGAAACUUAUGAAAUUCUGGCUUUCUUGUAGCCAGACCCAACUUUUAAAUUUCCUGCUACAUUUGAGUUUUGGGAGUUCUUUACAGCAAGUGGCAGAACAGCUGUUUCAGAGACUGUUAUUCUGAAGCAGACA